rnacentral:rRNA from 1 species
UACGGAGGGAGCUAGCGUUGUUCGGAAUUACUGGGCGUAAAGCGCGCGUAGGCGGCUUUGUAAGUUUAGAGGUGAAAGCCUGGAGCUCAACUUCAGAAUUGCCUUUAAGACUGCAUCGCUUGAAUCCGGGAGAGGUGAGUGGAAUUCCGAGUGUAGAGGUGAAAUUCGUAGAUAUUGGAAGAACACCAGUGGCGAAGGCGGCUC